GAAAAGUGAGCGGAUGAACUGAGGGUAGCGGAGAAAUUCCAAUCGAACCUGGAGAUAGCUGGUUCUCUCCGAAAUAGCUUUAGGGCUAGCCUCAAGUGAUGAUUAUUGGAGGUAGAGCACUGUUUGGACGAGGGGCCCCUCUCGGGUUACCGAAUUCAGACAAACUCCGAAUGCCAAUUAAUUUAACUUGGGAGUCAGAACAUGGGUGAUAAGGUCCGUGUUCGAAAGGGAAACAGCCCAGACCACCAGCUAAGGUCCCAAAAUAUAUGUUAAGUGGAAAAGGAUGUGGCGUUGCCCAGACAACUAGGAUGUUGGCUUAGAAGCAGCCAUCAUUUAAAGAGUGCGUAAUAGCUCACUAGUCGAGUGACACUGCGCCGAAAAUGUACCGGGGCUAAACAUAUUACCGAAGCUGUGGAUUGUCCUUUGGACAAUGGUAGGAGAGCGUUCUAAGGGCGUUGAAGCAUGAUCGUAAGGACAUGUGGAGCGCUUAGAAGUGAGAAUGCCGGUGUGAGUAGCGAAAGACGGGUGAGAAUCCCGUCCACCGAUUGACUAAGGUUUCCAGAGGAAGGCUCGUCCGCUCUGGGUUAGUCGGGUCCUAAGCUGAGGCCGACAGGCGUAGGCGAUGGAUAACAGGUUGAUAUUCCUGUACCACCUAUAAUCGUUUUAAUCGAUGGGGGGACGCAGUAGGAUAGGCGAAGCGUGCGAUUGGAUUGCACGUCUAAGCAGUAAGGCUGAGUAUUAGGCAAAUCCGGUACUCGUUAAGGCUGAGCUGUGAUGGGGAGAAGACAUUGUGUCUUCGAGUCGUUGAUUUCACACUGCCGAGAAAAGCCUCUAGAUAGAAAAUAGGUGCCCGUACCGCAAACCGACACAGGUAGUCAAGAUGAGAAUUCUAAGGUGAGCGAGCGAACUCUCGUUAAGGAACUCGGCAAAAUGACCCCGUAACUUCGGGAGAAGGGGUGCUCUUUAGGGUUAACGCCCAGAAGAGCCGCAGUGAAUAGGCCCAAGCGACUGUUUAUCAAAAACACAGGUCUCUGCUAAACCGUAAGGUGAUGUAUAGGGGCUGACGCCUGCCCGGUGCUGGAAGGUUAAGAGGAGUGGUUAGCUUCUGCGAAGCUACGAAUCGAAGCCCCAGUAAACGGCGGCCGUAACUAUAACGGUCCUAAGGUAGCGAAAUUCCUUGUCGGGUAAGUUCCGACCCGCACGAAAGGCGUAACGAUUUGGGCACUGUCUCAACGAGAGACUCGGUGAAAUCAUAGUACCUGUGAAGAUGCAGGUUACCCGCGACAGGACGGAAAGACCCCGUGGAGCUUUACUGUAGCCUGAUAUUGAAAUUCGGCACAGCUUGUACAGGAUAGGUAGGAGCCUUUGAAACGUGAGCGCUAGCUUACGUGGAGGCGCUGGUGGGAUACUACCCUAGCUGUGUUGGCUUUCUAACCCGCACCACUUAUCGUGGUGGGAGACAGUGUCAGGCGGGCAGUUUGACUGGGGCGGUCGCCUCCUAAAAGGUAACGGAGGCGCUCAAAGGUUCCCUCAGAAUGGUUGGAAAUCAUUCAUAGAGUGUAAAGGCAUAAGGGAGCUUGACUGCGAGACCUACAAGUCGAGCAGGGUCGAAAGACGGACUUAGUGAUCCGGUGGUUCCGCAUGGAAGGGCCAUCGCUCAACGGAUAAAAGCUACCCCGGGGAUAACAGGCUUAUCUCCCCCAAGAGUUCACAUCGACGGGGAGGUUUGGCACCUCGAUGUCGGCUCAUCGCAUCCUGGGGCUGUAGUCGGUCCCAAGGGUUGGGCUGUUCGCCCAUUAAAGCGGUACGCGAGCUGGGUUCAGAACGUCGUGAGACAGUUCGGUCCCUAUCCGUCGUGGGCGUAGGAAAUUUGAGAGGAGCUGUCCUUAGUACGAGAGGACCGGGAUGGACAUACCUCUGGUGUACCAGUUGUCGUGCCAACGGCAUAGCUGGGUAGCUAUGUGUGGACGGGAUAAGUGCUGAAAGCAUCUAAGCAUGAAGCCCCCCUCAAGAUGAGAUUUCCCAACUUCGGUUAUAAGAUCCCUCAAAGAUGAUGAGGUUAAUAGGUUCGAGGUGGAAGCAUGGUGACAUGUGGAGCUGACGAAUACUAAUCGAUCGAAGACUUAAUCAA
rnacentral:rRNA from 1 species